UGACGCAUACAUGUCAAGCCUCUAUAGAUAAAGGAGACUACCAAAAAUUUCAAUGUUACGAUGAAAUAAAGAUAAAUAAUCAUCAUUCCAAAUUGAGGUUUCACCAAAUAUUGGUUGUCCGUUGGGCGUAAAAUAAUUUGGAUAUCGACUAGAAAUAACCACAUCGUCUUCUGCAUUAGUUAUGCCCAUUUUAUUCCUAGUCAACCGUUCCAAAUAAUCAUAUUUGAGAGAUAAAGGAAUUGAUUGAACCACUACAGGACGCCGACUAUAUCACAUUGAAUCCCACUCAAACAAAACUUCAUCACCCCAAUGUAAAUUUACUCUUAUCUUAUUAUCAUCCAUCUUAAAGUAAGAAAUGAAUAAGGUUCAACAAAUAUUUUACGUUAUGCACUUUGACAAAAUUUUUUAGAAUUAAAGUAAUUUAAAGAAACCUACACUCUUUAUAUAGCACCAUGCAACAUUGUUACAAGACAAACAUCAGAUCCUACCGUACAAGGUGAGAACUCAUACUCGUCUUACAAGUAAGUCCCAUCAACUAGCAAAAGGAAAUUUAUUCACUCACUUGUCAACAAAAGGCAAAAGAGAAUUUAUUCCCUCACUUGAUUUGCAAAUACAAAAGGAUAAGGUAAGGGACUUCAUUUAUCUUCGAAGGUAAAUCGUUCUUUCGCCUUGCAGUUUACCAUUACCUGACGACGUUAACCUUUUAUGGACAAGGCAAAUACCUUCGUUUUCCUUGUCUGUUUUGAAUUUUUUUUCAUAAGCCCUCUCAAAACUUGCCCUUUAGGAUCCAGACUCUUUUAUCUUAUAUUAACAGGCUAUAAUAUUUUUAUUUUUGGAUUUUUG
rnacentral:lncRNA from 1 species